CGCUAAGAAGCUAAAUUGGAUAGCACUAGCCUUUUAAGCUAGAAAAAGAGAACUCCCCACCCUCCUUAGCGA
rnacentral:tRNA from 1 species